CCCGGGCCCAGUGUACCCCCAAUACCCGGGCCCAGUGUACCCCCAAUACCCGGGCCCAGCGUACCCCAAUACCAAGGCCUAGAACCCCCAAUACCCGGGCCCAGCGUACCCCAAUACCCGGGCCCAGCGGUACUACUAAUACCCGGGCCCAGCGUACCCCCAAUACCCGGGCCCAGCGUACUAAUACCAGGCCCAGCGUACCCCAGUACCCGGGCCCAGUGUAUAAUACAAAGACCUAGAACCCCCAAUACCCGGGCCUUGUACCCAAUACCCGGGCCUUGUACCUAAUACCCAGCGGGCCCAGCGUACCCCCAAUACCCGGGCCCAGCGUACCCCCAAUACCCGGGCCCAGCGUACCCCCAAUACCCGGGCCCAGCGUACCCCCCAGUACCCGGGCCCAGUGUACCCCCAAUACCAAGGCCUAGAACCCCCCAAUACCCGGGCCCAGCGUACCCCAAUACCCGGGCCCAGCGUACCCCCCAAUACCCGGGCCCAGUGUACCCCCAAUACCCGGGCCCAGUGUACCCCCAAUACCAAGGCCUAGAACCCCCCAAUACCCGGGCCCAGUGUACCCCCCAGUACCCGGGCCCAGUGUACCCCCAAUACCAAGGCCUAGAACCCCCCAAUACCCGGGCCCAGUGUACCCCCAAUACCCGGGCCCAGCGUACCCCAAUACCG